rnacentral:rRNA from 1 species
UGAUACCCUAUUAUUUUAAAUGUAAAGAUUUCUCUUAGUAUUAAUAGAUAUGAUCUUUAAAUUAAAAGAAUUUGACGGUGAUUUUAUCUUUCCAGAGGAACCUGUCCUGUAAUCGAUAAUCCACGAUAAAUGUUACUCCAGUUUUUGUUUGUAUAUCUCUGUUUAAUGAGUGUUUUAUUAGAAUAAUUCUCUUUCAUUUCUGAAGAAACAUAUAUCAGGUCAAGGUGCAAUUAUAUUGGAGGAUGAGAUGGGUUACAUUUAAUUUUUAUUUUUGGAAUGGAUGCUGUAAUUGUGUUUAUGAAAUUGGAUUUGGUUGUAAUGAAUAUUAU